rnacentral:rRNA from 1 species
GUGAGGAAUAUUGGACAAUGGGCGCAAGCCUGAUCCAGCCAUGCCGCGUGCAGGAAGACGCAUCUAUGGUGUGUAAACUGCUUUUGUACGGGAAGAAACACUCCCUCGUGAGGGAGCUUGACGGUACCGUAAGAAUAAGGAUCGGCUAACUCCGUGCCAGCAGCCGCGGUAAUACGGAGGAUCCAAGCGUUAUCCGGAAUCAUUGGGUUUAAAGGGUCCGUAGGCGGUUUAAUAAGUCAGUGGUGAAAGCCCAUCGCUCAACGAUGGAACGGCCAUUGAUACUGUUAGACUUGAAUUACAAGGAAGUAACUAGAAUAUGUAGUGUAGCGGUGAAAUGCUUAGAUAUUACAUGGAAUACCAAUUGCGAAGGCAGGUUACUACUUGUGGAUUGACGCUGAUGGACGAAAGCGUGGGAGCGAACAGGAUUAGAUACCCUUGUAGUCC